rnacentral:lncRNA from 1 species
AAAUAAUAUAUCAAAUUAUAUAAAAAUAAGGAAAUUAUAUUUAUUCAGAAAAACUUUUAUCUAAUCACAAAUUUAAUAGUUUAUUUACACAUGCGGCGGUUAGUUACCCCUGGUGCCAGCAGAUGGCAUGACAAAAUAUACUCUCGUCGAUGUACCUCUCGAGCACGAGUGACAGAAGUACUGACAACUUUUUACGUCUGUCGAGACACUACUGACCAGACGUCUUUAUCCGUCCUCGACAAAUCUGGGUCCAACGUUAGUCCUCAACUUGUAUUAUAUAUUGUAGAUAAUAUUUUAGUGAUAAGUAAAUAAAUAAUUUGGAUGCAAGUGGAUUGUAUUUUGUCCCAAUAAAAACCGUAUGACAAUCCCACUUCACUGGUGAGCCGGACGUGA